rnacentral:rRNA from 1 species
AGUGAACGCUGGCGGCAGGCCUAACACAUGCAAGUCGAGCGGAUGAACAGAGCUUGCUCCUGGUUUCGGCGGCGGACGGGUGGGUAGUGCCUGGGAAUCUGCCUGUUAAUGUUUUAUAACGUCCUGACACGGGCGCUCAUACCCCAUAACUCCUGACGACGUAAGUGUGGGAUCUGCGGACCUCACGCCCUCGGGUGAUCCUAGGUCGGAUUAGCUAGUUGGUGGGGUAAAGGCCUACCAAGGCGACGAUCCGUAACUGGUCUGAGAGGAUGAUCAGCCACACUGGAACUGAGACACGGUCCAGACUCCUACGGGAGGCAGCAGUGGGGAAUAUUGGACAAUGGGCGAAAGCCUGAUCCAGCCAUGCCGCGUGUGUGAAGAAGGCCUUCGGAUUGUAAAGCACUUUAAGUGGGGAGGAAAGGCAGUAAGUUAAUACCCCGCUGUUUUGACGUUACCAACUGAAUAAGCACCGGCUAACUUCGUG